GUUUGCACAAGUCCACUCACAGUAUCCGAUGGGAAAUUUAUUGGGGAUUAAUCAAACCAAUUUUUUUUAACGAAAUUUUUUUGAACAUUUACUAGCUGUAUACAUUUUGUAAGAAGAGAACUAAAGGAAGUCCCAUGGAGAAAUAAACGAGACGCAGGAAGACACUUACAUUAACUAGCCACCUCAGCUGUUAUAACCUUUGUUAAUAACUUUAGUUUUUUUAUAGCAUUAAGUAACAAAUAUUAUGUUUAGUUUAAUUGGUAUACUUAACAGCAUCAUUGUUUAUUUUAAUAUAAUAUUACUUAUUGACGAAUUUCUUAUUAUUUUAUAUCUAUUUUUGUAUUCGCGUUUUACUAUAACAGUAUAUCACGGCAUUGCCUGUUUGUAUUUGUUCCGGUACGCUUCAUGUAUCUGCCAGAAAAUUAUUUUCGUAAAAGUGACUGCUGGAUUGCCUUUUUAGCGAAUAUGAUUAAUUUCGUAGUAAUCUCCUUUUUAAUCCUCAAGCAAGCUUUAAACAGAAAAAAGAGUCACGUCCGCGGGAACAAAACCUACGACCUAGGAGGGCGCCCCUCAAUGCUUCUAACUGCUGAGCUACCACAACAAUUCUCCAUCCUGUCAAGCGCAAACCGCUUAUUCUUGAUUCGGGAGCAAGGAGGCGCUCAUAUAUCUCCAGGAAAGAGUAUCAUUAAUGUUACAAUUUUCAAGGGGGGGAACCGCAGAACGUGGUUAGCCACCGUAGAUACUACCCAAGCUCCUGGAACUUUGACGUCCGAUCGAACAGGUAACGGAUAGAGGCGGAGUCAAAAAAAGUUAAGUUGCGUUACAUAGCAUGCAAGAACCAAUUCACGAUUAACUGUAACAUUUUAUGAAAACGCGCGUGCAAGUCCGCCACGAUCAGUUUUUUUAAAAACUUCAAACCACUUGAUCUGUAACUACUAAGGGCUGAAAAAGAACAAAGAAACAUCGGGCUUAGACUCCCUCCACUCUGGCCUAGUAUGAUGGGAAACUAGCAUAAAUUAUCACCAAGAGAAUUGGCUCAAAAAACUAGAGCUGAGGCCUUUUAGAGACGUCGGCAACACUAAAAAUUAAGGCCCUCCCUACCGUUAGCUUCGUACCCAGAGGAAAAAGCUUACUAACCUCAUUAAAAU